CAUGUUGUUUAUCAGCUUUGAGUCAUAGGCCAUAUGUUUAUCUCUUUACAACUCUUUCUUUCUUUUCCUAUGCAGAUUAAUCUUCUCUUAUAGGUGGUCUUUGAUGAUUGGUCUCUAUAUUAUUUAAGCAUGAAAAUGAAAUGAAAAACCUUAAGAUUGGUGACUUUAUCUAAACACUACACACGUAAAUCUCCUUCAUCU
rnacentral:lncRNA from 1 species